rnacentral:rRNA from 1 species
UACGGGGGGGGUAAGCGUUGUUCGGAAUUACUGGGCGUAAAGGGCGUGUAGGCGGUUCGUUAAGUCUGGCGUGAAAGCUCUCGGCUAAACCGGGAGAGGUCGUUGGAUACUGGCAAACUAGAGGACGGUAGAGGCGUGUGGAAUUCCGGGUGUAGUGGUGAAAUGCGCAGAUAUCGGGAGGAACACCAAUGGCGAAGGCAGCUCGCUGGGACGGUACUGACGCUGAGACGCGAAAGCGUGGGGAGCAAACAGG